GUGGGCAUAGCUCAGUGGUAGAGCACAUGCUUAGCAUGCAAGAGGUCCUGGGUUCAACCCCCAGUACCUCCA
rnacentral:tRNA from 1 species